rnacentral:lncRNA from 1 species
AUUAAUUCCAUUUUUCUCCCAAUUCUUCAAAUCACCAAACACAAGUCAAAUAACAUAAAAUUUAACAAAACUAUCCUCACAUUUCUUUUUGAGUAUUUCGGCCAUGGUGAGUGCAUCAACACUAUGAUUUUUCGUAUUUGAUUUUCUCACCGUAAUUCAUCAUUUCCUAACCAAUUCACUUGAAAUAAAAUCAAAUCCACCAUCCACACUCUACAUGGAAAAUUCAGCCAAUGAUGGGUGAUGGGAGAAAGUGAAUUUCUCUUGUUGGCUUUUCAUGCUACACAUCACUAACUAUCUGCAAACACUAAAAUACAUUAAAAUCUAACCAAAUCAAGCAUCAAAACUCCUGCCUCCAUGUCCGGACAGUAAGGGUAUCCUCAUGCAAACUUGAUUCUCAACCAUGGGAAAUGAAAAAGAAUGCAUGGGAAAGGUAGAUCACAAGCUAAACUCGAGAAAUUUUACCUUUGAUUGCUUGAUUACUUGAAAUCCACCAAUUUUCUCUUGAAUUUUCACUCUAGGGUUCUUGUUCUUUCUUUUCUUCCUUUGUUCUUCUUUG